rfam:Operophtera brumata OBRT01_Sc01351, whole genome shotgun sequence.
CACUAGGCCCUUUUCAGGGCCACCAUAACUUAAGCUGAUCACUGAA